rnacentral:lncRNA from 1 species
GGCACCCUCUAAACUCUGCAAACUGAAACUGGAACCAUGGUUACCACAUCCUGUUCAUUUUCCAAUUUAGCUCAACCCCUGUGUCCUGCCCAAUAGAAGUGGCACCAUGGCCCCCAAACUCAUCACCGUCCUGUGUCUGGGAUUCUGCCUGAACCAGAAGAUCUGCCCACAUGCGGGUGCUCAGGACAAGUUCUCCCUGUCAGCCUGGCCGAGCCCUGUGGUUCCCCUAGGAGGACGUGUGACUCUCUCCUGUCAUUCCCAUCUUCGAUUUGUCAUAUGGACAAUAUUCCAAACAACUGGGACCCGAAGCCAUGAGUUGCACACUGGCCUUUCCAACAACAUCACCAUCAGCCCUGUGACCCCAGAACACGCAGGGACCUACAGAUGUGUUGGAAUUUACAAGCACGCCUCAAAGUGGUCAGCUGAGAGCAACUCCCUGAAGAUCAUCGUCACAGCCUUCUCUCUCCACCCAGGUGGACCCCAUGAUGAGGCUGGGAGAGAAGUUGACCCUCUUCUGCAGCUCUGAAAUCUCAUUUGACCAGUACCAUCUGUUCAGACACGGGGUUGCUCAUGGACAGUGGCUCAGUGGAGGGCAGAGACACAGGGAAGCAUUCCAGGCCAACUUUUCUGUGGGCCGUGCAACGCCAGUCCCUGGCGGGACCUAUAGAUGCUAUGGUUCCUUCAAUGACUCUCCCUAUAAGCCCCCAGUGACCCGCUGCAACUUUACACCACAGGAAACACUAAGAGUACUCCUCUGUCAUUCACAGAAUCCACCCCUGAAUCUGACACACCUCGCCCUCAAGGACAGUCCAGCAACCUGCAUAUGCUCACUGGACUCUCAGUAGCCAUCAUCUCCAUUGGCGUUUGCCUCUCUGCUUUUAUUGGUUUCUGGUGUUACAUAAAAUAUCACACCACCAUGGCAAACACAGAGCCCACGGAAGGCCAACGGACGGAUGAAGAGGAGCCUGCAGCAGAAGAGACACAGGAGAUCAUAUAUGCCCAGUUAAACCACCAGGCCCUCUCACAGACAGGAUUCCCUCCUGCCUCCCAGUGUCCCCACUACCUCUCGGAGGAUCCUAGUAUCUACAUCACUGUCCACCAAGCCCAGGCUGAGGCCAGAGCUGCCCCCAGUCUUUGGCACAAAGGGCAUUAAUACGCAAGGACCUGGAUCUAUUCCUAGGAGGAUUUUUUUUCCACGGACAUUCUUCCUCCUUCUGGUACCAUCUUGACACCUCGAAGC